AGAGACCUCAAGCGUUAUCCGGAAUCAUUGGGCGUAAAGCGUGCCGAUAGGUUGUUUUGAAAGUUUUGGGUAAAARCCAGAAGCUCAACUUCUGCGUUUGCUCAAAAUACUGCAAGACUAGAGGGGCAAAGAGGUCCUUGGAACGAACGGUGUAGUAGUGAAAUGCGUUGAUAUCGUUCGGAACACCGAAAGCGAAGGCAGAGGACUGGGUGCCACCUGACACUGCUAGGACGAAAGCGUGGGGAGCGAAUGGGAUUAGAUACCCCAGUAGUCCACGCUGUAAACGAUGAAUACUAGGCAUGCGCGAGUAUCGACCCUCGUGCGAGCCGUAGCUAACGCGUUAAGUAUUCCGCCUGGGGAGUACGGUCGCAAGACUA
rnacentral:rRNA from 1 species